AAGCCGAUGAGGAUUAGAUUGAAUUGGAAUUACCGUCUGAAUUCUUUGAUGAAAAUUUCUGGCUGUAACUGAGGCUUCAA
rnacentral:snoRNA from 1 species